UUUUUUUUUUUUUUUUUUUUUUUUUUUACUUCCAUUCAGUGUCAGAAGAUAUAAAAGUAAUCAUUCUUUGGAUAAGAGACUUUCACAAGUUUAUAGGAGGCUGUGAGAGAGUCAGUGACCUUCCCAUGUAAUGUAGAAUAUAUAAGAAAAAGAAACACAUGAUUGGGCCUAAUCUAUCUUAAAAUAUGGUUCUAUGUGUGGAAAAUAAUUAAGCAGUGAUUUAAUUAUUUUGGCUCUCCUAAACUUCGGUGGGAAAUAAAUGAUGCAUUUUAUAAAUGUGAUCUAGAAGGUCCAAUGAAGAUGUAUUGGAUUGAAAAUUUUUAAUUAAAGCUUAAUUUUCUGUAGUCAGAUUUAUCAAUGCAAAUACAUUGAUAUUUUGCAGUCUCUUUCUGAUCGUAUUAUAACUUAACACCUAUGAUGGAAAAUAAUAUUGUAUCUUAAUUGGAACAGUAUUCUUGCUAUAUAUAUUCUUUAAAUUUUAAUUUUUUUAAUUUUUGUAGGUACAUUGUAGGUAUAUAGAUAUUCAUUUUUAGUAAAAUUUUCUAUAAAAACAUGAAAACUGAGAUGAAGACUUGUAAAUAUUGCAUAAUUUGUAGAGCAUUAAAUAUGUAAUAUUUACAACUAAUAUCUUCAGGUAAUAGUAACAGAUCACUAGUCAAACUGUAUAAUAUCUGCAAAUUUUAUUUUACUAAAAUGAAUCAGAAAAAUAUGAACCUAACAACAUAAUUCUUAUGUUAGCUUAUUUUUUCCACAUGUGUAAUUGGUUAUCCCUAUAACAAGGUUAAGUCCAUUGAAACUUCGCUAAUAAAUCCCUUUGGUAACCAUGUAAAAUAUUUUUAAAGUAGAUGUGUAAUUGAGUUUGGUGAGCAGUGUCAUUUGAUAAAACUAUCUGGGUCUUGUUAGCAUAACAUUUGAAAUAAUUAAAGCUAUUUGGUGAAUCUUGAUUGUUCUCCUUUGAUAAAGGAAAAUUAGUCCCCUGAUCAGUGUCAGUAGAUGUAAAGCAAUUUUGCUUUGGACCAGAGACUUUCAGAUAUUUAUAGGAGGUUGUGAGAGUGUCAGUGAGUUGACCAAGUUCUCACAGUUAGACAGUGUGGUUAGCAAAUACUAGAUCUCAGUCCAUUGCUUUGUCCACUUCAAUACACUGACUCAGCAUAGUUUACUGCCUCUAUUUAUGUCAUAAAGUAGUUUUUGUUGGUCUACUAUGUGUUAGUAUAAACAUACCCAAUUUCACUUCAAAUACAGUGAUUUCGUUAUACUUUUUGUAUUAAAAAUGACAAGAACAAAAGGUGGUAGGGAGGAAGAAAUGGAAGAAGGAAGGGGGAAUGGAAGAAAUAAAACUGGAAAACAACCUAAGUAAAUGAAAAGAAAGUUUAAAAUACAAAAUUGCUUAAAGUGUUAUGUUUUUACUUUUGUCUGUCUCCCCCAUACAUUUUAGAGUUAAAUGUUUUCCUCUUUUAAUUCAUUUCCUACUCCAAAAAGUCAUGUAAUCAUGAAAUAGGGCAAUAUUCUAAGUUAAACUUUAUAAAAGGUCGACAGUAGGAAGCAGAUUCUUGACCCACGAAUAUAUUUUGCAUCCAGUUUUAAAAUGUGUAAGCAUGAAAUUAACCUCAUCCAUACAAAAUCAAUUGAAAUCUACUGGGUAAUAUCCUCUAAUUAGCCUCACAAAUUAGUCACAUUUUCACAUUUUUAUUAUCAAAGCAUUAAAGGUAAACCAGUACUUUAUCUAUUCUCAAAAGAAUGCAACCAAUGAAAUGUCACUAUUUGGAGUCAAUUUAUUUAAUUUAAAAAUAAUAUUUCUUACAUUUUCUUGUUUGCUCUAAUAAUUUUAAAAUAAUAGAAUAAAUAAGUUUAUAAACCAUAUUUUAAAUAAUCUUUCUUCUAGCAUAGAUGUAGUAUCUUUCCAAUACACUUAUUUGUUUUUGUAAGUUCUUUUCCUCUACAGAUAGAAUGAUGUGAAAUAACUCUUCAUAUCAUAUCAGUAGUCUGUCUUUUCUGUACUAUAGUGUGUUACUUGUCCUUGAAAUUUUUCAUCUUGGUUUCCAUGAAUUCUUUAUUUUUCUAUAUCAAUAUUGUAAUGAUAAAUAAAUUUUCAAAGCUGCAGAAUGGAAAAAGGAGACUGAUGGAUUUGAAGCAAUUUUAAACCAAUCUGUAGCACUUGGAUUAUUUAUUUUCAAUUUAGGUUUUAGUGUGAUUUGAAUAUAGUGGUAAUUUAUCAUGAUUAUUAAGAUUCCAUAGUCCAGAUUAACAAAUGUUUACUUGCUGUCUGUGUAAACACAGUCGUUAUUAUGCUAGUGUAUCUGUGCAUGCCAAAGUAAUAUUUAACCAAGGAAAGCUUACAUUUUAAAACUAAUAAAGUGUAUCUGAGUAAUUUUGAAUGCUUUCAAUUUACAAUGAAUCAGUUUGUAAUUGAUCUUGCUUUUCUUCAGUCUGUUAUCCUUUGUUAACUUGUUAUAAAAUUCAGCUUUAAUGCCAAAACUUCAACAAAGCCUUAAAUUUCAUUAAUCCUUAAAUAAUCCAACAAAGCACAAUUAAUAGUUGUUAAGCAAUUUGAAACAUUAAAAAAUCAAGGAAAAC
ensembl:lncRNA novel transcript, sense intronic to DMD